CAGCAGGCGCGCAAAUUACCCACUCCCGGCACGGGGAGGUAGUGACGAUAAAUAACGAUACGGGACUCAUCCGAGGCCCCGUAAUCGGAAUGAGUAUACUCUAAAUCCUUAUACGAGUAUCAAUUGGAGGGCAAGUCUGGUGCCAGCAGCCGCGGUAAUUCCAGCUCCAAUAGCGUAUAUUAAAGUUGUUGCGGUUAAAAAGCUCGUAGUCGGAUGUGUGUCCCGCGCCGUCGGUUCACCGCGUGUCGGUGUUCAACUGGCGGUACGCGGGACGUCCUGUCGGUUGGCGGUCCGGGCGCCGGUCGGUUCGUAGGGGUCUGCCAGGCUUCGGUCUGCGCCGUCCCCGAAGGCCUUCGCGGCGUUUCCGGCCGCCUUGUCGAUCCCGUCGCGGUGCUCUUCGCCGGGCGCCGAGGCGGGCCGGCACGUUUACUUUGAACAAAUUAGAUUGCUCUAAGCAGGCACUGUCUACCGCCUGUAUGUUGUGUGCAUGGAAUAAUUGAAUAGGACCCCGGUUCUAUUUUGUUGGUUUUCGGAAUCUGAGGUAAUGAUCAAUGGGGACUGGCGGGGGCAUUCGUAUUGCGACGUUAGAGGUGAAAUUCUUGGAUCGUCGCAAGACGGACCUAAGCGAAAGCAUUUGUCAAGUAUGUCCACGUCGAUCAAGAACGAAAGUUAGAGGUUCGAAGGCGAUCAGAUACCGCCCUAGUUCUAACCAUAAACGAUGCCUGCCAGCGAUCCGCCGAAGUUCCUCCGAUGACUCGGCGGGCAGCUUCCGGGAAACCAGAGCGUUUGGGUUCCGGGGGAAGUAUGGUUGCAAAGCUGAAACUUAAAGGAAUUGACGGAAGGGCACCACCAGGAGUGGAGCCUGCGGCUUAAUUUGACUCAACACGGGAAAACUCACCAGGCCCGGACACCGGAAGGAUUGACAGAUUGAGAGCUCUUUCUUGAUUCGGUGGGUGGUGGUGCAUGGCCGUUCUUAGUUGGUGGAGCGAUUUGUCUGGUUAAUUCCGAUAACGAACGAGACUCUAGCCUGCUAACUAGGCGUACCCGGUAUCCACAAUCGUGCUACCGGCGAGCCAAUUUCUUCUUAGAGGGACAGGCGGCUUCUAGCCGCACGAGACUGAGCAAUAACAGGUCUGUGAUGCCCUUAGAUGUCCUGGGCCGCACGCGCGCUACACUGAAGGAAUCAGCGUGUCUUCCCUGUCCGAAAGGACCGGGUAACCCGCUGAACCUCCUUUGUGCUAGGGAUUGGGGCUUGGAAUUGUUCCCCAUGAACGAGGAAUUCCCAGUAAGCGCGAGUCAUAAGCUCGCGUUGAUUACGUCCCUGCCCUUUGUACACACCGCCCGUCGCUACUACCGAUUGAAUGAUUUAGUGAGGUCUUCGGACCGGUGCGCGGGGCCGCCUCGCGGUCUCCGGUGCCGCUGGAAAGAUGACCGAACUUGAUCAUUU
rnacentral:rRNA from 1 species